GACGUAGGGCGCGAGCGUUGUCCGGAUUUAUUGGGCGUAAAGAGCUCGUAGGCGGCUUGUUACGUCGACUGUGAAAACCCACGGCUCAACCGUGUGGUCUGCAGUCGAUACGGGCAGGCUAGAAUUCGGUAGGGGAGACUGGAAUUCCUGGUGUAGCGGUGAAAUGCGCAGAUAUCAGGAGGAACACCGGUGACGAAGGCGGGUCUCUGGGCCGAUAUUGACGCUGAGGAGCGAAAGCGUGGGGAGCGAACAGG
rnacentral:rRNA from 1 species